UAGGGGCCGCAGCGGACGGAAGGGCGCCCCCGCUUCGUCCGCUCUGUGGCUACGGCCUA
rnacentral:pre_miRNA from 18 species